rnacentral:tRNA from 1 species
GGGGCUGUAGCUCAGUGGUAGAGUGCUUGCCUCGCAAGUGUGAACACUGAGUUCCAUCCUCAGCACCA